rnacentral:rRNA from 1 species
GUAGUAAUACCGAUGAAAUCUAGUGGCGAACGGGUGCGUAACACGUGAGCAAUCUGCCGGGAAGUGGGGGAUACUCGCCGAAAGGCGAAUUAAUACCGCAUAUGGCCAGGCAAGACAUCUUCCCGAAGCCAAAGUCGCAAGACGCUUCCUGAUGAGCUCGCGGGCUAUCAGCUAGUUGGUGAGGUAAUGGCUCACCAAGGCUAUGACGGGUAGCUGGUCUGAGAGGACGACCAGCCACACUGGAACUGAGACACGGUCCAGACACCUACGGGUGGCAGCAGUCGAGAAUUUUUCACAAUGGGGGAAACCCUGAUGGAGCGACGCCGCGUGGAGGAUGAAGGUUUUCGGAUUGUAAACUCCUGUCAAAUGGGAACAAGAAAGUGAUAGUACCAUUAGAGGAAGAGACGGCUAACUCUGUGCCAGCAGCCGCGGUAAUACAGAGGUCUCAAGCGUUGUUCGGAUUCAUUGGGCGUAAAGGGUGCGCAGGCUGUGGGGUAAGUCGGAUGUGAAAUUUAGAGGCUCAACCUCUAAACUGCAUUCGAUACUGCUUCGCUAGAGGACUGUAGAGGAGAUUGGAAUUCACGGUGUAGCAGUGAAAUGCGUAGAUAUCGUGAGGA